UAAUACGUAGGUGGCGAGCGUUGUCCGGAUUUACUGGGCGUACAGGGCGCGCAGGCGGUUCGUUAAGUUCGAGGUGAAAUCUCCUGGCUCAACUGGGAGGGGUCUUCGAAAACUGGCGGGCUUGAGGAGAGCAGAGGUGAGUGGAAUUCUGGGUGUAGUGGUGAAAUGCGUAGAUAUCCAGAGGAACACCAGUGGCGAAGGCGACUCACUGGGCUCCACCUGACGCUGAGGCGCGAAAGCGUGGGGAGCGAACCGGAUUAGAUACCCGGGUAGUCCACGCCGUAAACGAUGGACACUAGGUGUGGGGGGUAUUGACCCCCUCCGUGCCGCAGCUAACGCGAUAAGUGUCCCGCCUAGGGAGUACGGCCGCAAGGCUA
rnacentral:rRNA from 1 species